AUCGGUUAGCUCAGUGGUUAGAGCUUAGGCCUUGUGAUCGCAUGGUCUCGGGAUUGAUUCCCGCUAGAUG
rnacentral:tRNA from 1 species